AUUGAACGCUGGCGGCAGGCCUAACACAUGCAAGUCGAGCGGUAGCACAGAGAGCUUGCUCUCGGGUGACGAGCGGCGGACGGGUGAGUAAUGUCUGGGAAACUGCCUGAUGGAGGGGGAUAACUACUGGAAACGGUAGCUAAUACCGCAUAACGUCGCAAGACCAAAGUGGGGGACCUUCGGGCCUCAUGCCAUCAGAUGUGCCCAGAUGGGAUUAGCUAGUAGGUGGGGUAACGGCUCACCUAGGCGACGAUCCCUAGCUGGUCUGAGAGGAUGACCAGCCACACUGGAACUGAGACACGGUCCAGACCCCUACGGGAGGCAGCAGUGGGGAAUAUUGCACAAUGGGCGCAAGCCUGAUGCAGCCAUGCCGCGUGUGUGAAGAAGGCCUUCGGGUUGUAAAGCACUUUCAGCGGGGAGGAAGGCGGUGAGGUUAAUAACCUCAUCGAUUGACGUUACCCGCAGAAGAAGCACCGGCUAACUCCGUGCCAGCAGCCGCGGUAACAC
rnacentral:rRNA from 1 species